rnacentral:rRNA from 1 species
ACCUGCCCAGAAGCAGGGGAUAACACCUGGAAACAGAUGCUAAUACCGUAUAACAGAGAAAACCGCCUGGUUUUCUUUUAAAAGAUGGCUCUGCUAUCACUUCUGGAUGGACCCGCGGCGCAUUAGCUAGUUGGUGAGGUAACGGCUCACCAAGGCGAUGAUGCGUAGCCGACCUGAGAGGGUAAUCGGCCCACAUUGGGACUGAGACCCGGCCCCAGACUCCUACGGGAGGCAGCAGUAGGGAAUCUUCCACAAUGGACGCAAGUCUGAUGGAGCAACGCCGCGUGAGUGAAGAAGGGUUGACGGUAUUUAACCAGAAAGCCACGGCUAACUACGUGCCAGCAGCCGCGGUAAUACGUAGGUGGCAAGCGUUAUCCGGAUUUAUUGGGCGUAAAGCGAGCGCAGGCGGUCUUUUAAGUCUAAUGUGAAAGCCUUCGGCUCAACCGAAGAAGUGCAUUGGAAACUGGGAGACUUGAGUGCAGAAGAGGACAGUGGAACUCCAUGUGUAGCGGUGAAAUGCGUAGAUAUAUGGAAGAACACCAGUGGCGAAGGCGGCUGUCUGGUCUGUAACUGACGCUGAGGCUCGAAAGCAUGGGUAGCGAACAGGAUUAGAUACCCUGGUAGUCCAUGCCGUAAACGAUGAUUACUAAGUGUUGGAGGGUUUCCGCCCUUCAGUGCUGCAGCUAACGCAUUAAGUAAUCCGCCUGGGGAGUACGACCGCAAGGUUGAAACUCAAAAGAAUUGACGGGGGCCCGCACAAGCGGUGGAGCAUGUGGUUUAAUUCGAAGCUACGCGAAGAACCUUACCAGGUCUUGACAUCUUCUGCCAACCUAAGAGAUUAGGCGUUCCCUUCGGGGACAGAAUGACAGGUGGUGCAUGGUUGUCGUCAGCUCGUGUCGUGAGAUGUUGGGUUAAGUCCCGCAACGAGCGCAACCUUUAUUACUAAGUUGCCAGCAUUCA